CCGCAUGGUGGUGCAGUUGGUAGCACUGUUGCCUUGCACCAAGAAGGUCCUGGGUUCCACUCCCGGCCGGAGGU